UGUUUUGGGUUUGUGGCUUAAGAAGUUUUGAUAACACACCAUUGUUUUGGCUAUUGCUGAACAGUGCUUGCACAGCAUCAAAUCUUUUCCUUUUUCCCACCCUGUUCCCAGUCCUUGCUAGGAGGUCAACUUGUUUGGAGGUCAACAAGAGACUGGGAGGAGGGACAGAUAGGACAGCUGUCCUGAAUUGUCCGAAGGGAUAUUGCCUGCCAUAUAAUGUCAUGCUUAGCAAUAAAAAGUGGGGUAGAGGAGGAAGAAGGAGGUUUGGGGCUUCAAAGGUGGCCAGUGCCAUCAGAGACUGGAUGGGCACUGGUCUGCUUGUGAGAGAUGGGUAGGGGUGAGUGAGUGGCUGUGUGGAUUAUUGCAUACUGGAGGAUAUCAACCCACCACAGUAGCAGUUGUUCUCUGUUCCUAAACAACAUAUGAAAGAAGAAACGAGCCAAAUGUAAGCCACAUAAAUUGGAAGUAAAACAACACAAAAAUGCUAACUUCUGAGGAAAUAAUAGAGAAAUGAGUGUUAAAUUACCUACAUCGACUGGAUGUUCUGGCAGAGCACCUCAAUAAUGUUUUGCUGAUUCUCAUGACCUCUGUAUCCGAUGAUGCUUUGCCUAUCCAUUCCACAUGCAAAGAAGAGAUUCUUGUCCAAAGUCAUAUCUAUGAAGCUGUAUUUAAUGUGCUCCUGAGCAAUCCAUCUGAGUGCUGUGCCUGUGGCAAUAUCACAGGAAAUGCCAAUGCACAGCACGGAAAAUGUCAGCUUUCUACGAGACAAGCAAAGAAAUGCUAUUCCUUUAUGCUAUAAUAUGAUGCCUCAUGCAGUUUUCUUGGAGACAAAAAGCCCAAAGAGAGCAGGAAGGAGGAAGAGGAGGAUUCCAGGCCCUGAGAGCAGCCAGGCAGAGCGGCGUGUCCCUGGCACAGGAGGAGUGGAGGACAUGCGUUCCUCUGGGAUUAUGCAGAGCUGCUGGAAGUGAAGCUUGAAAACCGGCAGAACGGAAGCUUGGAAACUGAGCCCUGGACUGAAGCUGGUAAUUUACCUUAUUUGAAAUAAAAACAGCUUAAGUUGAAGCCAGCCGGAAAUUCAGAUGACUUGAAGCUGCGAGCAAAAUUAGCAUAGCACUCUGCAGGUUGAAACAUGGGGGAAGCAGAGUGAGGGACUGAGCCUUGACGGCUGCCAGGGUAAGGAAGCUGCUGCUUCUUCUGCACUCUUAUUCAAAAUUAUCCCUUAAAGCUAAAAUCAUUGCAAGACCAGGCUAGAAGACCAUAAUAGUGCCUGCUGGCCUUAACAGCAACAAGCAAAAAAAAAAAAAAGAUGACUGCAGCAGAGUUAUCAUUAAAAGGAAUAAGAGUAUGACCAGCCCCCCAGAUGGGUAGAGCAUGGUAAGUACUAAUGACAGACCGAAACAUCUCAGCCAGGAGUCUGUCAAUGUAAAUCAAUGCAGCUAUGCCUCUGUGAAGCUAGGCCAGUUUAUUCCAUUAAGAACACAGAUCUUGAAUGCAAGUAUGUAUAGCCUAUGCCUGCAAAGUGCACUGUGCUGGGGGCAGGGGGGCUGGGAGAUGAGAGAGCCACGGUCUGCCGUAUCAUGUUGAAAGACCCAGGAUAUCUCUUCUGUCUUUGCUGGGGUAUCAGAAGCCAUCUAAUCAUAGCAGUGGCCAGACAGGCUAACUCAGCCAUGCGAGCUAAUGUAUCCUGCUGCUGCUUUUAGACUAAUUCCAGUCCCCAAGCUAAUUCUUGCAAAGCUUGCUUGUAGAGUUAGCCUGUAUAAUUCAACACUACAUUGCAUUGGCAAACCCUUAAGGAGCUUGACUGCGUAUGUGUGCAAGUGAGAGAGCACAGUUCGGUGAUGCUGUGCUCACAGGGCUGUGUAUGUCUGGUGAUGUUAUUUGCCCGUGUACUAAUGACCAAGGAUCCAUUUGUUCACGAACUAGCCCAUAUGUCAGUAUGUCAGUUAAUUUGAAAGACAUAGUGAUUAAUGUAACCAGUUAUAAUAGGGCACAAAGGAUUCUGCUUCUGAGUAUUUUCCCUGCACUUACACUAGCAACAAUUAAGAUAACCUCUCUUUUCUGUUUGAAACAAGUUCUUUCUCAAGCAUGGAUAUUUUCCAUCUGUGUGCCAGGAUGCCAUUCAUUGUUACUGCAAGCAGAAUAAGAUCAUGUUGUGUCUGAACUCUGUAAGGUUCUUACUACAAGGUAACAUUUUUCCAAGGCCUGAAGUGACCUUCCUGGACUACAAGUACCGAGGAAUACUUGCAGAAAUGAUCUCUUGAAAAAAGAUCCAGAAUGUAUACUUUCAUAUGGAACAUGCAGAGUGGUCACAGUGUCCUUGAUGUGCCAUCUACUGCCCUUUUACUGAGUUGGUCAAUGUUUUGAUACCAUAUACAAAUGUCUUGGGAUCUCUGCUGUUUUUACAGGAACAAGCAGCAGGAUGGAAUGUGUGAUCAGCAAGUUCACCAGUGUCUGCAGUGAAGCAUAAACAUGAAUGAGCCUAGACAUGCUUAGAAGGCCAAGAAAGUACUAAUAACACUUGCUCAGUAUUUUUAAUGAAGUUGUUUGGAUCAGUAAGAAUGUAGAAGUUGCCUCCCACUUGAGGAAAAAGCACAUAUCCACACUGGGUCAGCUGAGGAGAGCAGUGACAGCAAACAUAGGUUUUCGAAGCAAGGCAUUUCUGUGUGAUUAUCUUCUGCUGCUAAAACACAGGCCCUGGCUGAUAUUUUGAAAUGAGCCAUGUUUUGUGUGUACAGCAUUCUACUCACAUAAAAGGUGCAAAAGAUACAUGGUGGGUUUUUUAAAAAAAAUAUCUGCUUUUCCAGAGAAAAAUACUGUUGCAAACACAAAAGUUUUUCCAGGCUUGCCCUGGGCACUCCUUGAAAUAGACUAUAUGGACAAUACGCAAUGAAACCUCCGACUGUCUCAAGGAGAUAUUCAUCUUGCCUCUCCUUGGCAAGCUGUGUUUCCUGUCCAGCCUCACUGGAUUUAUUGUCUCAUUGUGGUGGAUGAAAAAGCCAGGCUAGUGACAGGCCAUAUACGGGCAUGGAACAACCAAGAAUAACUAGAAUAGCAAGAAAGAAAAAAAAAAAAAAGAAAAAGAAAAAAAAAAAAAAAACAACA